rnacentral:rRNA from 1 species
GAACAUACAAAGUAUUUAUCGCUAGAAAGAGUGGGCUCGCGUCUGUAUUAGAUAGUUGGGUGGGGUAACGGCCUACCAAGUCGACGAUCAGUAGCCGGACUGAGAGGUUGAACGGCCACAUUGGGACUGAGAUACGGCCCAGACUCCUACGGGGAGGCAGCAGGUGGGGGAAUAUUGCACAAUGGGGGAAACCCUGAUGCAGCAACGCCGCGUGAAGGAUGACGGUUUUCGGAUUGUAAACUUCUUUUCUUAGUGACGAAGACAGUGACGGUAGCUAAGGAAUAAGCAUCGGCUAACUACGUG